UACGGAGGAUCCAAGCGUUAUCCGGAAUUACUGGGCGUAAAGAGUUGCGUAGGUGGCAUAGUAAGUAGAUAGUGAAAGCGUUCGGCUCAACCGGAUAUACAUUAUCUAAACUGCUAAGCUAGAGUAUGAGAGAGGUAGAUGGAAUUCCCUGUGUAGGAGUGAAAUCCGUAGAUAUAGGGAGGAACACCGAUGGCGUAGGCAGUCUACUGGCUCAUUACUGACACUAAGGCACGAAAGCGUGGGGAGCAAACGGG
rnacentral:rRNA from 1 species